ACUCCUACGGGAGGCAGCAGUGGGGAAUCUUGGACAAUGGGGGCAACCCUGAUCCAGCCAUGCCGCGUGAGUGAUGAAGGCCUUAGGGUCGUAAAGCUCUUUCGCCUGUGAAGAUAAUGACGGUAGCAGGUAAAGAAACCCCGGCUAACUCCGUGCCAGCAGCCGCGGUAAUACGGAGGGGUUAGCGUUGUUCGGAAUUACUGGGCGUAAAGCGCACGUAGGCGGAUCGGAAAGUUGGGGUGAAAUCCCGGGGCUCAACCCCGGAACGGCCUCCAAAACUAUCGGUCUAGAGUUCGAGAGAGGUGAGUGGAAUUCCGAGUGUAGAGGUGAAAUUCGUAGAUAUUCGGAGGAACACCAGUGGCGAAGGCGGCUCACUGGCUCGAUACUGACGCUGAGGUGCGAAAGUGUGGGGAGCAAACAGGAUUAGAUACCCUGGUAGCUACGAG
rnacentral:rRNA from 1 species